GACAGAGGAUGCAAGCGUUAUCCGGAAUGAUUGGGCGUAAAACGUCUGUAGGUGGCUUUUUAAGUCCGCCGUCAAAUCCCAGGGCUCAACCCUGGACAGGCGGUGGAAACUACCAAGCUGGAGUACGGUAGGGGCAGAGGGAAUUUCCGGUGGAGCGGUGAAAUGCGUAAAGAGUACGGAAAGAACACCAACGGACGAAAGCACUCUGCUGGGCCGACACUGACAUGAGAGGACGAA
rnacentral:rRNA from 1 species